rnacentral:lncRNA from 1 species
GGGCAUCCUGAAGUCUGUACAGCAGAACACAGUGCUCCACAGGAUAGGAAGAUGUCCCUCAUCAGUCCAUGGAGGCUUGUUCAGGGCUGAGGAGCACAGCCUAGAAGUCUGCAUAUCAUAGAAUCUGGAUGUCCAGUCCAGGUCUUUAAAACAAACAAACCAACCAAGAAGAAGGGGAAGAAGGCAUUUUCAAGCAGAUGAAAACUAAACCAAUAAAAGCCUACAAAGAUUCAUUUUAAAAAGGAAAUGGACUGUGGGGAUGCUGAAACAUGCCGGCGAGUAGGAAAGAAGAUGCCUUUUCAUGUGGCCUUGCAAUGCAAACAUUUUGGGAGUGUUCAGUUCCUCUGCCACAUUGGACUUAUAUUCCUUUUUAUUGGAGUCCCAACGACUUUGUUUCCAUGGGGAAAUUGGUACUUUACUGAAAGACUUUGGUAAAUGGUAA